GACCUUUCGCGUCUCCGCCCCGGGGUUGGCGGAUCGGAGAAGGAGCAAAGAUGGCGGAGUGAGGCGUUCCCCGGGCAGCUGGCCUCCGGGCCCGGGCGGGCCUCCCCCGAGAGGCACAGUACUUGUGCCGGACCGUAUGAGGAACCUCAGCACACAGGAUGAAUAGAUUCGUGACCUUAGGUGCUUUUAUAUUCAGCUCAGAAUUCUGAACUCAGGACUUGGCAAGAAUGUCUGUGUUGUCUUCUCAGUGGGGCGUCCUGGUUCUUUGAUCCAGCUGCUUCCUCUGGUGAAAUGCGGGUGUCUUCUACACACACCUCCACGGUUUGGAACGGAGAGACUGCUGCCUGCCUGCCUUUCCUUAACUCCACCUCAUUCAGCAGAGAGGAGUCUGGGAUGCAGCAGUCCUGCUGAGCUCAGGAGAAACCGACUCCCAUGAGGCUUCUGCUGCAGUUCGCUCCAUUAGAAAGACACCAUGUGCAAGUGGAAGGAAGGUGUUGAAUUGGAAACAGGUGCUUAGGUUGUGCAUCGUGAAUUCUUCCUUUUAAAAGCUCCAAACAACAAAACUAAACAAAUGCCAAGUGUGGGUGACUUCAAGUUUCAUUUGGUUUUGUUUUGUUUUUAAGUCUGCCAGUUUUAACACUAUUAUAAGCACAGUUGAGACUGCAGUGAUAAAUUCCAAAUAUUCAUUAUAAUUGGAGGUGAAAAAAACAUUAUCUAACCCCUAGCUCACCCUUUGACAGAAUUUCCUGGAGAAAAACAAGUCUCUGUUAUGAUAAAGGCAAAAGGCAAGAUAUCAAGGUUGCUUUCCUAUGAAUGGGAGUGAAACCAUUGCAGUGUGUACAGAUUCACAUUUUUAUGUGUAUAAAUCCACAUUUUCUAACAAGAUUUUUCUUUUGGAGAAGAAAGCUGUCGUUUGAGAAGGCUUCAGACAGUUUGAUGGUCGUAAGUGUUUGAGCUUUGUCUGUUUUGCUGUUUUCAUCCUUCUCAGGAAGGACCAGCUGGCCUGUGACUAGUUUGGAGUGGGAAGAGAACAGGCUGGGGUGAUGCUUGCCUCCUACUGCCAGUGCUGGGAGGCUGAGGCAGGAAGAUCAGAAGUUCAGGUCCAGCUUUGACCACAUGGUGAGACUGUCUCAAAAACAGCAGCAGAAAGGAAAAGUGAGCCCAGGAACAGCACUCUGUGUUCCGAGACUGCAUUCUUUUUUGUGGAAUCUCAUGUAGCACAUGUGACUUCAGUUUUCUAUGUGGCUGUAGCUGGAAGGAAAGUGACGUGUGUUAUGUGGUGGACCCUUUAUUAUAACUCACCUUCAACUUUGAACAUACAGGAGUGAAGGAAAAAAUAACUUGGGGGUGUGUAAAUUCUCUUCUGAGAAAAAGAAGCCACGAUGUCUAAUGUAGCAGCAUCUGACUUUUUAGAUUUUUAUAUUAUGUAGUUGCAUUUGUUAUAAAAGCAUAAAUAACCUUCAUCCCAGGA